rnacentral:rRNA from 1 species
UACUCCUACGGGAGGCAGCAGUGGGGAAUAUUGCACAAUGGGGGAAACCCUGAUGCAGCCAUGCCGCGUGUGUGAAGAAGGCCUUCGGGUUGUAAAGCACUUUCAGUAGGGAGGAAGGUAGUGUAGUUAACACCUGCAUUAUUUGACGUUACCUCCAGAAGAAGCACCGGCUAACUCCGUGCCAGCAGCCGCGGUAAU